AGUGAACGCUGGCGGUAGGCCUAACACAUGCCAUUCGAACGGCAGCACAGUAAUUUCUUGCUCUUACGGUUUUCUAGUUUCGUACGUGUUAGUUAUACAUCGGAUUCUUCUUUUUCUUGUGUGAUUUCGUAGGUACACUUACGCUAAUACCUCAUACGACCUACUUUUGUAAUCAUUUGUUCUUCUGACCUUUCGCUUUUUUAUGUGCCGAUGUCGGAUUAGCUAGUUGGCGGGGUAAAGGCCCACCAAGGCGACGAUCCGUAGCUGGUCUGAGAGGAUGAUCAGCCACACUGGAACUGAGACACGGUCCAGACACCUACGGGAGGCAGCAGUGGGGAAUAUUGGACAAUGGGCGCAAGCCUGAUCCAGCCAUACCGCGUGGGUGAAGAAGGCCUUCGGGUUGUAAAGCCCUUUUGUUGGGAAAGAAAAGCAGCAGGUUAAUACCCCGCUGUUCUGACGGUACCCAAAGAAUAAGCACCGGCUAACUUCGUG
rnacentral:rRNA from 1 species